UGGCUCAGGAUGAACGCUAGCUACAGGCUUAACACAUGCAAGUCGAGGGGCAGCAUGGUCUUAGCUUGCUAAGGCCGAUGGCGACCGGCGCACGGGUGAGUAACACGUAUCCAACCUGCCGUCUACUCUUGGACAGCCUUCUGAAAGGAAGAUUAAUACAAGAUGGCAUCAUGAGUCCACAUGUUCACAUGAUUAAAGGUAUUCCGGUAGACGAUGGGGAUGCGUUCCAUUAGAUAGUAGGCGGGGUAACGGCCCACCUAGUCUUCGAUGGAUAGGGGUUCUGAGAGGAAGGUCCCCCACAUUGGAACUGAGACACGGUCCAAACUCCUACGGGAGGCAGCAGUGAGGAAUAUUGGUCAAUGGGCGAGAGCCUGAACCAGCCAAGUAGCGUGAAGGAUGACUGCCCUAUGGGUUGUAAACUUCUUUUAUAAAGGAAUAAAGUCGGGUAUGGAUACCCGUUUGCAUGUACUUUAUGAAUAAGGAUCGGCUAACUCCGUGCCAGCAGCCGCGGUAAUACGGAGGAUCCGAGCGUUAUCCGGAUUUAUUGGGUUUAAAGGGAGCGUAGAUGGAUGUUUAAGUCAGUUGUGAAAGUUUGCGGCUCAACCGUAAAAUUGCAGUUGAUACUGGAUAUCUUGAGUGCAGUUGAGGCAGGCGGAAUUCGUGGUGUAGCGGUGAAAUGCUUAGAUAUCACGAAGAACUCCGAUUGCGAAGGCAGCCUGCUAAGCUGCAACUGACAUUGAGGCUCGAAAGUGUGGGUAUCAAACAGGAUUAGAUACCCUGGUAGUCCACACGGUAAACGAUGAAUACUCGCUGUUUGCGAUAUACAGCAAGCGGCCAAGCGAAAGCGUUAAGUAUUCCACCUGGAGAGUACGCCGGCAACGGUGAAACUCAAAGGAAUUGACGGGGGCCCGCACAAGCGGAGGAACAUGUGGUUUAAUUCGAUGAUACGCGAGGAACCUUACCCGGGCUUAAAUUGCAGAUGAAUUACGGUGAAAGCCGUAAGCCGCAAGGCAUCUGUGAAGGUGCUGCAUGGUUGUCGUCAGCUCGUGCCGUGAGGUGUCGGCUUAAGUGCCAUAACGAGCGCAACCCUUGUUGUCAGUUACUAACAGGUUCCGCUGAGGACUCUGACAAGACUGCCAUCGUAAGAUGUGAGGAAGGUGGGGAUGACGUCAAAUCAGCACGGCCCUUACGUCCGGGGCUACACACGUGUUACAAUGGGGGGUACAGAGGGCCGCUACCACGCGAGUGGAUGCCAAUCCCAAAAACCUCUCUCAGUUCGGACUGGAGUCUGCAACCCGACUCCACGAAGCUGGAUUCGCUAGUAAUCGCGCAUCAGCCACGGCGCGGUGAAUACGUUCCCGGGCCUUGUACACACCGCCCGUCAAGCCAUGGGAGCCGGGGGUACCUGAAGUGCGUAACCGCGAGGAGCGCCCUAGGGUAA
rnacentral:rRNA from 1 species